rnacentral:ncRNA from 2 species
GUUCUCACGUUUGUUGCCGGUGCCCUCUUUUUCGAGGGAUAAUAGGGAACACGGUGAAAUUCCGUGACGCUGGACCAGCGCUGUAAGCGGGAACCGAGGCUGCAAAAUGUCACUGAUCCGAGAGGAUCGGGAAGGCGCGGCCGAGGGUAGGAACGUUCAGAUAACGAUUUACGAUAAGGCUGAUCGAAACCGUUGUCCGGGCGUCUGAUGAUCCGCAAGUCAGAAGACCUGCCGCAACAACCACACGGUA